rnacentral:rRNA from 1 species
UGACCUCAAAUCAGGUAGGACUACCCGCUGAACUUAAGCAUAUCAAUAAGCGGAGGAAAAGAAACUAACAAGGAUUCCCUUAGUAGCGGCGAGCGAAGCGGGAUGAGCUCAAAUUUGAAAUCUGGCGUCUUUCAGGCGUCCGAGUUGUAAUCUAUAGAAGCGUUUUCUGUGCUGGACCAUGUCCAAGUCCCUUGGAACAGGGUAUCAAAGAGGGUGACAAUCCCGUACUUGACAUGACCACCAGUGCUAUGUGAUACGUUUUCUACGAGUCGAGUUGUUUGGGAAUGCAGCUCAAAAUGGGUGGUAAAUUCCAUCUAAAGCUAAAUAUUGGCGAGAGACCGAUAGCGAACAAGUACCGUGAGGGAAAGAUGAAAAGCACUUUGGAAAGAGAGUUAAACAGUACGUGAAAUUGUUGAAAGGGAAACGAUUGAAGUCAGUCGUGUCUAUUGGUUUCAGCCGGUCCUGCCGGUGCAUUACCUUUAGACGGGUCAACAUCAGUUUUGGACGGCAGAUAAGAGCAGUUAGAAUGUAGCACCUCCGGGUGUGUUAUAGCUUUCUGUUGCAUAUGCUGUCUGAGACUGAGGACUGCAGCUCGCCUUCACAGGCCGGGGUUCGCCCACGUUCGAGCUUAGGAUGUUGACAUAAUGGCUUUAAACGACCCGUCUUGAAACACGGACC